UGGGGCUGAGCAAUCCUUUAAGCAACAUGUUGAGGGAGACUUAAAGGCCUAGCUAGGGCCUCAUAAGACCGGCAAGAUCAUCAUCCGAUGACUCUAGACUGGACAUUUUAUCCUUAAGGUGCGUAAACAGAUCCAAUACAAACGACUGCUAUCAUUUGGUGUUGUAAAGAAUGGAUAACUCAGAAGUGGACGACACAAUGCUGCUGAGAGACAUGGCAAAUACGAUGACUAACUAUUGCAAUUACUUCAUACACAUGAUGUCAUAUACUUCCAAAGCAAGGCUCAGGAAUGUCAGGGAGACAAUGCCAUUUGGACUACUUCUAGUCAGAGUGUCCUAUGGAACUGAGAAUGGAGUCAAUAGGCCACAUUUACUACACAAUUAACACGCCUCCUUGGUUGCAAAAUCUAUUUCAGCGUGAAAUAAAUAUCAGCAAGAGGACAAACACCAGCCCGGCAUGUGGAUACUAUGGAUGACAAAGUUGUUGCAGAAAAGCUUGGGAUAGUUUUGAAUAAAAU